CCAGCUGUUAAACACAGGGCUGCAUACAAGAUCUUUUUUCAUGAAACAAUAUGGAGAAGAAUCCAACCCGUGGAGAUUCAUGGUAACAUCCACUGACAGCUUUAAAUGCUUUCAUUUAUUGUCCAGAUUUCUUCAUCCUUGCUUUGAUCUGUCACUACAUUUGGAAGAAACAAUCUAACUCAAGCAUUUGUUUUCCAGUCAGUGACUGAGGAGGGGCACGUUAAGCGCAACAUCCGUCCAAUUUCCUGCCUAGAUGAUCUGAACAUGGUGGGACACCUCCUUAAGGUUCAGUUCAAUAUGAGCAAGUAUUCAGAACCAGUUCAGAUGAUCUUAUGGUUUAGUUUUCUCUGCUCCCACCAUAGAUGGGUUGGAAAGUCUUGGGAGAAGAUGCGGACGCAGACAGCUGUGACCAGACCAUCUUCAUCCAGCUCAUACGUCAAAUGCUGAAGGUGGAUCCUGCUGAAAGAAUCAAACCAAACCAAAUUCUUCAGCACCAAUUUGUCACCAUGAGCCACCUGGUGGACAAAUUUGGUAACAGCUUCCAGUAAUGUGAAAUCCUGUGUGGAGUACAUGCGAAAUGUGCAGGGUGACCAUCAGUAAUGGAGAUGAGGCUCAGUUGAGCCUUAGCACUUGCCAGGCUGAGGGUCCUUCCAUCAUGGGUCAGUCUGAUAGAAGAAAAGCUAAGAAGAGACCAAGAGGCACUGAUGAUGAUGAUGAUGAAGACUGCAAAAUGUAAGCUAAUUAGCCAUUGACUCUAGCACUACUAAUGAGUGCAUCUCCCACAAAAGAAG